rnacentral:rRNA from 1 species
AUACGUAGGGGGCAAGCGUUAUCCGGAAUCAUUGGGCGUGAAGGGUGCGUAGGCGGCCCUAUGGGUCAGAGGUUAAAGGCUACGGCUCAACCGUAGUAAGCCUUUGAAACUGUAGGGCUUGAGUGCAGGAGAGGAGAGUGGAAUUCCUAGUGUAGCGGUGAAAUGCGUAGAUAUUAGGAAGAACACCAGUGGCGAAGGCGACUCUCUGGACUGCAACUGACGCUGAGGCACGAAAGCGUGGGUAGCGAACAGGAUUAGAUACCCUGGUAGUCCACGCCGUAAACGAUGAGUGCUAGGUGUCGGGGGUCAAACCUCGGUGCCGGAGUUAACGCAUUAAGCACUCCGCCUGGGGAGUACGUUCGCAAGAAUGAA